UAAUAUAAUCUUAAUUAAUUAAAAAUUUUUAUUAAAUUGAUUUAAAUAAAAUAUUUAUAGUUAAUAAAGUUAAAGUAUUUAAAAAUAAAUAAUUUUUGUUUUAUAGAGAAUAUUAUUGUAAAAGAAUGAUGAAAUAAUUUAAAUUUAAUUGUUUAAGAAGAAUAUUUAUAGAAUAGUAUCUUGUGUAUCAGAGUUUAUUAAUUAAAUUUUAUAUAUUAUUUAAAUUUCUUGAAAAAUAAAAAUUUAAAUAAUAUAUAAAAUUUAAUGUUAAAAAAUUAUAUUUUAAUGUUAUUUAGAAGUAAAAAGUUAUUCGAUUUAUUUGAUAUCUAGUUUUUUUUGAAAUAAAUUUAAUUUAUGUAAAUAUUUUUAAUUAAUAAAAUUAAUUUUAUUAAUUAAAAAUAUUUACAAGUAAUAUAAGGGAUAAGCUUUAUGUUAAAAUUUAAUAUUUGAAAUAUGAUUUAUAAAAAUUAUAUAAUUAAAAUUGUUUGUUAGAUUUAAUUUAUUAUAAAAUUUUUUAUUUAAAUUAAUAUUUAUUAAGAAUUUAAAUGUUUAAAAAAAAAAUAAAAUUAAUUAAUAAUUUUAUGUUAUUAUGAUAAAAUUAGUAUAUAAAAAUUUAAUAAAUAAAAUAAAUUUAAGAUAAUUUUGAAGAAUUCGGCAAAAAUUAUUUUUAACUGUUUAACAAAAACAUUUCUUUAUGUUAAUAUAUAAAGUAAGAUCUGCCCACUGAAUAUUUUUAAAGGGCUGCAGUAUUUUGACUGUGCAAAGGUAGCAUAAUAAUUAGUUUUUUGAUUGAAAACUUGUAUGAAUGAUUAAAUAAGAAAUAGACUAUUUUAAUUUUAAUUAAUAGAAAUUUAUUUUUUAGUAAAAAGGCUAAAAUUUUUGUAAAAGACAAGAAGACCCUAUAGAUCUUGAAAGUAAUUUUAAUUUAUUAUUAGGUUUAUUUUUUAGUUGGGGUGAUUAUAAAAUUAAUAAAACUUUUAUAUUUUUAUUUCGUUAAUUUAUGUUUAUUUGAUUAAUUAUUAUUUAUAUUAGAUAAAGUUACCUUAGGGAUAACAGCAUAAUUUUAAUUUUAAGUUCUUAUUUAAAUUAAAGAUUGUGACCUCGAUGUUGGAUUAAGAUAAUUUUUAAGUGCAAAAGUUUAAAUAUAUAGUCUGUUCGACUAGUAAUUUCUUACAUGAUCUGAGUUCAGACCGGUGUAAACCAGGUUGGUUUCUAUCUUUAUAGGAUUAUUUGGGAUUAGUACGAAAGGAUUAUUUUGAAGGAUAUUUUUUUAAAAGUUAGAAUAUUAUU
rnacentral:rRNA from 1 species